GUGGGGGAUAUUGCACAAUGGAGGAAACUCUGAUGCAGCGACGCCGCGUGAGUGAAGAAGUAUUUCGGUAUGUAAAGCUCUAUCAGCAGGGAAGAUAAUGACAGUACCUGACUAAGAAGCCCCGGCUAACUACGUGCCAGCAGCCGCGGUAAUACGUAGGGGGCAAGCGUUAUCCGGAUUUACUGGGUGUACAGGGAGCGUAGACGGAAUGGCAAGUCUGAAGUGAAAUCCUGCGGCUUAACUGCAGAAUUGCUUUGGAAACUGUCAAUCUGGAGUGUUGGAGAGGUAAGCGGAAUUCCUGGUGUAGCGGUGAAAUGCGUAGAUAUCAGGAAGAACACCGGAGGCGAAGGCGGCUUACUGGACAAUAACUGACGUUGAGGCUCGAAAGCGUGGGAAGCAAACAGGAUUAGAUACCCGAGUAGUCC
rnacentral:rRNA from 1 species